rnacentral:rRNA from 1 species
AGUUUAGGCUGCCUAAGGAUGAGCUCACGCCUGAUUAGCUAGUUGGUAAGGUAAUGGCUUACCAAGGCCACGAUCAGUAGCUGGUUUGAGAGAACGAUCAGCCACACUGGGACUGAGACACGGCCCAGACUCCUCCGGGAGGCAGCAGUGAGGAAUUUUCCGCAAUGGGCGAAAGCCUGACGGAGCAAUACCGCGUGAGGGAUGAAGGAUUUUGGUCUGUAAACCUCUUUUCUCAAGAAAGAAGUUCUGACGGUACUUGAGGAAUAAGCAUCGGCUAACUCCGUGCCAGCAGCCGCGGUAAUACGGGGGAUGCAAGCGUUAUCCGGAAUCAUUGGGCGUAAAGCGCCUGUAGGUUGUUUACUAAGUCUGUUGUUAAAGACUAGGGCUUAACCCUAGAAAAGCAAUGGAAACUUGUAGACUAGAGUAUGGCAGGGGUAGAGGGAAUUUCUAGUGUAGCGGUGAAAUGCGUAGAUAUUAGAAAGAACACCAGUGGCGAAAGCGCUCUACUGGACCAUUACUGACACUCAGAGGCGAAAGCUAGGGUAGCAAAAGGGAUUAGAUACCCCUGUAGUCCUAGCCGUAAACGAUGGAUACUAGAUGUUGUGCAUAGUACAGUAUCGUAGCUAACGCGUUAAGUAUCCCGCCUGGGGAGUACGCUCGCAAGGGUGAAACUCAAAGGAAUUGACGGGGGCCCGCACAAGCGGUGGAGCAUGUGGUUUAAUUCGAUGAUACGCGAGGAACCUUACCAGGGCUUAAAUGUAGUCUGACAGCUUUAGAGAUAGAGUUUUCUUCGGACAGAUUACAAGGUGCUGCAUGGUUGUCGUCAGCUCGUGCCGUGAGGUGUCAGGUUAAGUCCUAUAACGAGCGCAACCCCUGUGGUUAGUUGCCAGCGAGUCAUGUCGGGAACUCUAGCCAGACUGCCGGUGCAAACCGUGAGGAAGGUGGGGAUGACGUCAAAUCAUCACGGCCCUUACGUCCUGGGCCACACACGUGCUACAAUGGUAGGUACAGAGAGCAGCCACUACGCGAGUAGGAGCGAAUCUAUAAAACCUAUCUCAGUUCGGAUCGGAGUCUGCAACUCGACUCCGUGAAGCUGGAAUCGCUAGUAAUCGGAUAUCAGCCAUGAUCCGGUGAAUACGUUCCCGGGCCUUGUACACACCGCCCGUCACACCAUGGGAGCUGGUCAUACCCGAAACCGUUUGCUUAACCAUCUGGAGAGCGGCGUCUAAGGUAGGGCUAGUGACUGGGGUGAAGUCGUAACAAGGUAGCCGUACUGGAAGGUGCGGCUGGAUCACCUCCUU